GUGAGGUUUGGGGAGUCGUAUUAGCACUUGCAGCAAUGUUUGGUACAGCAUUAUGGACCUUUGAAUUAAUCCACGAACGCGUCAUACGGAGUAGCACUGCCCAGUUUUCUAGGUCCUUAUUGCACAGUUGGGGCGCCCUGUUGAAACAGUGUAUUUUCUACCGACCUGCCGACACCUCUAGACAGGUAAUACUGGGAUGGUGGCUCACAUUCUCUUUAGUAAUCACCACCGCGUAUCAGUCUUCUUUGAUCGCGAAUCUCAGCAUCCAGAGCAAGUCCAAGCAACCUGAAACAUUCAAGGAUUUAGUACUGGCAGAAAACUGGGAAUGGGCGACUGAACCGUGGAUGCUGAAAGGAUAUCCAUAUGAAUAUUUCACAAAACAUAAAGAUCCAGUUGUAAUUAAAAUAUACAAGAAACUCAAAGUGAUGGCAGCGAAAGAAGCUCUUGCUGAGGUGAUGAAAGGCCACUUCUCUUUGAUAAGUCAUGAAAAUCAUAUAACAGUAAUUGUUUCAUCCUACUUCACUGACGAUCGGCGUCGAACCCCCUUUCAAAUAAGCAAAAAGGGAUUUUCGAUCA